UCCGUAAGUACAAAUCUAACACGCGCACGCAAGCAAGUCAAAUCGAACGCAUCCAUUUUGAAAUAAUGGGCAAGAUCAACCUUCCCACCCCUCCGGUCUGUCAGUCCCCUUGUGUUGCCUCAGGAGAAAGUUUUUUUUUAACACUGUCAGCUACUGUAGCUAACUAGCAUUGGUUAAAAUGAGUUGCCUAAAAGAGCUGAACUCCAAAACUCAGAAGAAUGGAAGGGAUAUCUCAGCUGUCUAUUCAUCUGAGAACUAUGGUCACCUACAUGGGAUGAGAACAUGGGAUGUCAACACUGAUUCAGGAGAUCAAACACAUUUCAGUAUGUCAGGAGUGAUGCAGCGCUGUUCAGGUGGAGAGUACAGUAGAGAAGCUGGAGCCAGCAGGCCGGACCACCACUGUACCAACCACCGAAUCUACCCAUCACAUAAUUAUACUCAGCCCUCACUCCCUCAAAACAUACUUACCGCCCAUGGAGAUUUUAUCCCACAGUCCAGCCCAGGCCAUUUCAUGAGUCCCACGCCCAGUUUACAUAAUAACAACCAUCUCAGUUCACUUGGUGGCCAUUGGUUAUCUGAAGGUCUGGUCCAUUGCAACAUGACUUCAGGUGAAAUAUUUGAUGCUGUGGCAAGUAUUUGCCCAGACAAUUUAGAUGAACACAGACAAAAGACCCAUCGCAAACUCGAGGCGUUGACAGAGCUAAUGCCUCAGCAUCAAAUGGACAUCAAUCAGUCAGUCAAUGUAUACCUUCAGCCCCUAGCACACAAGCUUGGAGAAAAUGCCACAGUUAUGUGCAGCAUGAAUGGCCAAGGGCAGAUGGUUUCAGUGAACCACUGUAGCCCAGGUCAGAUGCUGCACUCCCAGCCUCCAGGCCACCUGGACUCCAGCCCUGAGGCCCUCUGCUACGACAGCUCCUCCAAAGAGAACUUGGAGCAGAGCUACUCGAUAGGCUCUCAGUCCCACCUGCCCUCUGUGAGUCUACCUGCCAUUUGGCCCAACCACAGCUUCCUUUGCCCCAACCAGCAGGCCUCCCCUGACCCUCCGGGUUCUGGAUACAGCUACAACCAAAUGUCCCGAGCCUACUUCUCACAGUACUGCCAAUAUCCGGAGUAUCCUGACACUUUGUCUCUGGUCCCUGAGGGUCAGUCCACAUCUGUCGUACGUCUUAAUGAGUCUAUGUGGGACUCCAAAUCCAAGAAGCCUUGCAACUGCACAAAAUCGCAGUGUCUCAAACUAUACUGUGACUGCUUUGCUAAUGGCGAUGUUUGCAGAAACUGUAACUGCAUCAACUGCUGCAACAACACUGAGCACGAGUUAGAGAGAUACAAGGCUGUCAAGAUUUGUCUGGACAGGAAUCCUGAGGCAUUCAGGCCUAAGAUCUGCAAUGGAAAACUAGGGGAGAUCAAAGGACGCCACAACAAGGGCUGCAACUGCAAACGGUCGGGAUGUCUGAAGAACUAUUGCGAAUGCUAUGAGGCCAAGAUAAUGUGCUCUUCCACCUGUAAGUGCGUGGGCUGUAGAAACUAUAAUGGCAGUCCUGAGAGGAGGGCAAUGUUGUGGGAGAGCCCGGACACCACUUUCUACAAGAACGCCAAAUGUGACAAGGACAAGUGUCCUCUGUCAUGCAUCACGCUCGAUGUUGUGGAAGCCACAUGCGGCUGUCUUCUGGCACAAGCAGAGGAGGCAGAGAAGGAAGGCUACACGCUGCGUCAAGCUGAGAAAAUGAUUUUGGAGGAGUUUGGCCAAUGUUUGACGCAGAUUGUUCUGUCGAUAUUUAAAUCGACUAGCUUGUAGACAGAAUCUAAUCCUUCCUAAGAGACUGCAGAGUAUCAGCCACAGUUGUCUCACUCAGGGGGUAUUAUUGAACCUUAGAGAGACCCUGUUGCUAUUACGACAAUAAAAAGAGGACAGGAACAUUGGCCCAAUCACAUAUGGUUAGGCUUGGCUGAAGACAAGCUGCUCUUUUAGUUGCAGACAUGAUGUCAAGAGCAAUAAUUCAAUGGACUUCCACAAUCAUUGUGCUUUUGUUGUUUGUGGAAUCACAUGCUGAAAGGAUUAAACUUAAUCCAAACCGCUGGGGCCCCCAGUCAAUGAUGUAUCUGAAAGGAAAAUAUGGCACCAGAGAUGUAGCUGACUAUGAGGACAGUGGUCACAAAUUGGGGGUAAAUGGCUUGUACACACUGAUUAACGGUUUCCAAAGGUCUCAGAAUUUCAGAAAACCCAGAAGACUUCUAAAAAAAAUUCCAUUACUGAGAGUAUUGAAGAUGGAUACUUUGAGGUUAAAGUAGUUUAGUUACGGGACAAUUUUAUCUUUUUGAAUUAAGAUGAUUCCUUAUCUUUUUAUUUUCUUCAAAACAUUGCUUUUCUAUUGAUAUACAUUUUUUAAAUACAAUUU